rnacentral:rRNA from 1 species
GACGAACGCUGGCGGCGUGCCUAAUACAUGCAAGUAGAACGCUGAAGGAGGAGCUUGCUUCUCUGGAUGAGUUGCGAACGGGUGAGUAACGCGUAGGUAACCUGCCUGGUAGCGGGGGAUAACUAUUGGAAACGAUAGCUAAUACCGCAUAAGAGUAGAUGUUGCAUGACAUUUACUUAAAAGGUGCAAUUGCAUCACUACCAGAUGGACCUGCGUUGUAUUAGCUAGUUGGUGGGGUAACGGCUCACCAAGGCGACGAUACAUAGCCGACCUGAGAGGGUGAUCGGCCACACUGGGACUGAGACACGGCCCAGACUCCUACGGGAGGCAGCAGUAGGGAAUCUUCGGCAAUGGACGGAAGUCUGACCGAGCAACGCCGCGUGAGUGAAGAAGGUUUUCGGAUCGUAAAGCUCUGUUGUAAGAGAAGAACGGGUGUGAGAGUGGAAAGUUCACACUGUGACGGUAACUUACCAGAAAGGGACGGCUAACUACGUGCCAGCAGCCGCGGUAAUACGUAGGUCCCGAGCGUUAUCCGGAUUUAUUGGGCGUAAAGCGAGCGCAGGCGGUUAGAUAAGUCUGAAGUUAAAGGCUGUGGCUUAACCAUAGUACGCUUUGGAAGCUGUUUAACUUGAGUGCAGAAGGGGAGAGUGGAAUUCCAUGUGUAGCGGUGAAAUGCGUAGAUAUAUGGAGGAACACCGGUGGCGAAAGCGGCUCUCUGGUCUGUAACUGACGCUGAGGCUCGAAAGCGUGGGGAGCAAACAGG